GACGAACGCUGGCGGCGUGCUUAACACAUGCAAGUCGAACGGAAAGGCCCUGCUUUUGUGGGGUGCUCGAGUGGCGAACGGGUGAGUAACACUUGAGUAACCUGCCCUUGACUUUGGGAUAACUUCAGGAAACUGGGGCUAAUACCGGAUAGGAGCUCCUGCUGCUUGGUGGGGGUUGGAAAGUUUCGGCGGUUGGGGAUGGACUCGCGUCUUAUCAGCUCGUUGGUGGGGUAGUGGCUUACCAAGGCUUUGCCGGGUAGCCGUCCUGGGAGGGUGACCGGCCACAUUGUAACUGAAAUGCGGCCCAGCCUCCUACGGGAGGGAGGAGUGGGGAAUAUUAUACUAUAGGCUGGAGCCUAGUGCAGCAAAGCCGUGUGCGGGAUGACGGCCUUCGGUUUGUGAUCCACUGUCGCCUGUGACGAAACGUGAAUGACGGUAAUGGGUGAAGAAGCACCGGCUAACUACGUG
rnacentral:rRNA from 1 species